rnacentral:misc_RNA from 1 species
GUGGAGCCCUUGAAGAUUUAUUUGCAGAAAUAUAGGGAGAUGGAAGGGGAGAAGAGCUCCAUGGGCAGGCAAGGAGAGAAGGAUGGUGCUGGUGGGUCAGGUGGAGGUGGUGCCGCUGCUGGCGGAGGUGGGUCUGGUGGAGGGGUGAGUUCAGGCGGUGCUCUGGCGGAGCAGGAGGGUUUAAUGGUGGUGGUCAAGGGAUGUAUGGAGGGAUGAUGAUGAUGGGGCAUCAUCAAGGGCACGUGUACGGCACCGGUGGGUAUCAUCAUCAGAUGGGUGUCGGGAAAGGUGGCUCCGGCAACUCAAGGUAGGUGUUGGCGACGAGUGUUGUUUUGGGAUUAGUAUUUACUAUAUUUUUACUCCUUGCUAUGAAGGGAUUAAUUAACUGGGUUAGGUCUUCUGUU